GUUGGCCUCGGAUCAGGUGGGGAUACCCGCUGAACUUAAGCAUAUCAAUAAGCGGAGGAAAAGAAACCAACAGGGAUUGCCUCAGUAACGGCGAGUGAAGCGGCAACAGCUCAAAUUUGAAAUCUGGCGCAAGCCCGAGUUGUAAUUUGUAGAGGAUGUUUCGGGUGAAGCCACGGUCCAAGUCCCUUGGAACAGGACGUCAUAGAGGGUGAGAACCCCGUACCUGGCCGUCGGUGCCCCCCGCUGUGAAACUCCUUCGACGAGUCGAGUUGUUUGGGAAUGCAGCUCUAAAUUGGUGGUAAAUUCCAUCUAAAGCUAAAUACCGGCCAGAGACCGAUAGCGCACAAGUAGAGUGAUCGAAAGAUGAAAAGCACUUUGAAAAGAGAGUUAAAAAGUACGUGAAAUUGUUGAAAGGGAAGCGCUUGCGGCCAGACUUGCCCGCGGUUGCUCAGCCUGCCUUUUGGCGGGUGUACUCUUCCGCGGUCAGGCCAGCAUCGGUUUGGGCGGCCGGAUAAAGGCGCGGGGAACGUGGCCUCCCCUCGGGGAGGUGUUAUAGCCCCGUGCGCAAUGCGACCAGCCCGGACCGAGGUUCGCGCUUUGCUAGGAUGCUGGCGUAAUGGCCGUAAGCGGCCCGUCUUGAAACACGGACCAAGGAGUCUAACAUCUAUGCGAGUGUUUGGGUGUCAAACCCGUGCGCGUAAUGAAAGUGAACGGAGGUGGGAACCGCAAGGUGCACCAUCGACCGAUCCUGAUGUCUUCGGAAGGAUUUGAGUAAGAGCAUAGCUGUUGGGACCCGAAAGAUGGUGAACUAUGCGUGAAUAGGGUGAAGCCAGAGGAAACUCUGGUGGAGGCUCGCAGCGGUUCUGACGUGCAAAUCGAUCGUCAAAUUUGCGUAUAGGGGCGAAAGACUAAUCGAACCAUUUAGUAGC
rnacentral:rRNA from 1 species